UUUUUUUCUAAUUACUACUACUAUGAAAUGAUUUUAAAAACUGGGAUGUCCUAUAGCUAUUUGUACUUGGGGGGAAAUGUUUAAAGUCUUUUUACCAGUUAUAAACUUUUAGCAGAUUAUAAAACUAGCAAAACAAAAUUUGGCAAAAGUCUAUUCUAUGGCACUUAAAAACCACUAGUAGUAUUAUGCAUACACCUUUCUAUAUGAGCAUAGUCACAGAAGCUUAGAAGUCUCCCAGUGGCAAGUAUAUACUUAAGCCUGUAUACUUUUCAGAAAGUACACACAAAGAUUUGGUGUUUUAAAUUGACCUCCGAGUAAUGUACAGAAUAGUAAGUGAGAAUUCUCUAAGGAGUCAUUAUUAAUAGAGCCUACAACAUAGUCGCUUAAAAGAGGAGAAAGAAGAAAUUUUAAUUUACAAGGUGUGUGGUAGUGUGUGGUGUGUGUGUGUGUAAGCAUGCUAAGCCCCUAGCCUGACGUCUAUAUUAGCAUGGUAUACAUAAAAUCCAAAAGCCAAAAUAAUUGGUAAGCUAGAAUGGAUCAAACUCUCUGAAUAAUUCUAAUUUACAACUUAACUGUUUGCUACAUUUUAAAAAUUGUUAAAAUUAUCAAAAAAAAUAGUUAAGGUAGGCAGGCAAAUGGUUCUGUGGUUAAGACACUUGUCACCACACCUGAUUACCUAGGUUCCAUUUCCAGAUCCACAUUUAUGGAUCUCCCAUAAAUUUUCCUUUGACCUCUUUUGUGUUCCCCACCCCAAUAAGUAAAUAUCAUUUUAAAUUUAAAAAGCAAGUAUAUUUUUAUUAUAAAUACAAAUAUUGACUAUUUAAAUUAUUUUACUAUGCCAUGAAAGUAUUUUGUUAUUUUACCAAAAUACUAUUAUACUCAAUUUUCAGUAUACUUAUUUUCUGGGUUAUAUGUAUUCGAUUUGUGACUGUUAGUAGAUGUUAUUUCAGAAUUAUGUAAGCUUAGAAAAUUAAAAUUAUCAUAUGCAAAA
rnacentral:lncRNA from 1 species